rnacentral:lncRNA from 1 species
CUCGGACUCACAUUGAAAAUCCACUCUCAACCCCCCAUCAGCAGCCCGAGGGCCAUUCUGAGGCCUGUUUUCCAGGACCACACUGCUGCCUUCAGACCCUAUGCAGAAAGCCCACUUGUAAAUUAUUCAUUUUGAAGUCACAUUCCCUGGAGCUGUGUGUCGAUGCUGCUACCAUAGACAGAACUGCCUCAGCCCUGGAGACACAGAAAAGAACAGAAUGGAAUUUCUAGAACUGUCAGACCAAGGUACUUUUGCUGAUAAUGCCCAAUGAAAGGUCAGGAUGCCCCUUCCCUCUUCCACAUUCAAUACUGUGAUCUAAAGGAGAGGAAAGUUGGACAAAAUGAUUAAGAACAUUUCUUUAGGCAGCUCUAAUCCUUCAGACUCUAUGAAAUGCACCCUUCUGAGGAC